ensembl:misc_RNA 7SK 7SK RNA
GGACGUGAGGGUGAUCUGGUUGCAACACCUGUCACCCAGUGGUUGCAGGGUUGACUCAGCUGAUCUGACUGGGUAGGUGCGUGUCCCCCGCUCCCUCACCGCCCCACGUGUGUCCCUCCUGCAGCUGCACGCUCGGUCAAAGAGGACGACCGUCCCAACAGAGGAGGACCAAUCUCCCGUCAAGGGUGUACUGUGCUCCCCUGCUAGAGCCUCCAAACAAGCUCUCAGGAAACACGUUUGAAUAUAACAGCACAAAGUGCAAAUAAAGCAAACGCUAGAUAAACGAACAGAUAAAUUU